UAUAAGAAUCUUAAUAUAAAACUCUUAUAUCCCAUUUUCAAAAAUACAUUCUUACAUCCCCAUUCAUAUCUAUAUAUAUAAUAAAUCAUUAUUUAAAAAACAUAAUAAUUUUUUUUAUGUUUUUGAAUUAUACAUUUUCAAAUUCAAAUUUUUUUUUAUUUUUUUCAAAAUUUCUUUUCUGAAAAUCGAAAAUUAUGUUUGAAACUAUUUCUUUCUUUUAAAUAUUUAUUUAUAUAUUUUUUUUAAUCCUAAAUUUCACAUUUCAAAAACCUUAUCCCACCCCUC
rnacentral:lncRNA from 1 species